rnacentral:lncRNA from 1 species
GGGCUAAGAAGAAAAUUUGGUUUUUCUGGACAACAAAGCACCUUGAGCUAAGAGAGAAAACAAUUUACUUCAUGAUAUAACAUUAGUCUCUCUUUUUGCUUCACAAUUGGAUAAACCACUUCUCAACUCAUUUCCCAACUCUUGUUCAUUGAAUGCAUUUUUAUUUCUUUUCUUCUUCUUUCUUCUUUUUCUUUCUUUUUGACUCAUAUUAUUAUUUUCUCAAUGCUCCCUUAUUUCAUAAACUCCCCCAAACUUAAA